rnacentral:misc_RNA from 1 species
UUUCUUCCGCUCCCUGGCAUCGCCUCUCGAGGUUCGGCUGGAAAGCGGCAUCUGUAGGUCAAAGAGAAAAAAGAAGCAAACCGCCAUCUGGAUAGCACACAUUGGGGCCCCAGCUACCUUCACCCACUCCCUCACAUGCAGAGCGCAUCCAGGAACAGUACGCGAGCGUGCGUCCUCUCCUUUGUAGCUCUCGACUCCACCACCACAUCCCCCACCCUUGGGGGGACCCCUCCCACACUCUGACAGGCACCGCAAAAAGCAAGCGAGAGGCCACGCGUACAAUCCAGUCAUCAUAGACGGCCGAGGAGUCACCCUUUGAGAUUCGACACAGCACCUGUGUCUCUUGGCGGAACAGCGAAGCCUGAGCCUCUCUCUCCGUCAAACACGCCACCACAGCCGCACACGCGCGGCCUGCGCCCCCACGGCACGCACGCAUCGUCAUUGGGUGUAGUUCCCCCCCCCCCCGCUUUCUCCCAGCAGGCAAGGACUCCUUUCGCGGAAUGCACACCGCAGACUCCUCCCCGACCGCCCCGCAGCCGACAGAGGCAGGCACGGCAAUGUCUGCGAAAACCACCGCAGCUGAAUCGACGGCGACGGCAACCAUCUCCACGAUGACUGCGCCUGCCGCGACGAAAAAAGGCAGCUCUCCGAAAGGGUUUCAAGUCACACACACAAGCUACCAGCGCGGCAGCACCCCAUUCCGCUCCGCCUCGCCGCCCAUUGCGCCGGCAGCAUUCUCUGGUCCCCGUAACGGCGGUUCUUCAGGGUCGCCAGUGCAGCCCCCACAACCACCCCCGAGUUUCUACGGAGUCACGGCACCGUCGCCGUAUCAACGGCAUCGCUCCUCCUCCUCCUCAUCGGCGCAUUCCGCGACGACGACCAACACGCCACCACUCGGCCCCCGCACAACCGCUGUGCCGCUCAUCACACCGCGCUACCAAAAAAAGAGCCGCACGGCGCGUCACAUGAGCGUGACGGAUAGCUUCCCAACGCAGCAGACGCCGUCGGGCGCGCUGCAGCAGGAGGCGACGGAGCGCAUGACGAUCCAGAACGGGCCGAUGCAGUACGACCAAGAGAUGCACUUUCACACAUAUGACGUGUACCGUCAUGGCAAGCGGCAGAUCCACACCCGCAGCGUGGGCUACAGCAGCGAUGGCGACUUGGUAAUGAUGCGGGAGGACUACUCGGAACCAAGCGACGUGGACAACGGCUUCGUGCUCAAGCGGACAGAGAUCUCGGACCCGGCUGUGCUGGACCCGCGCGCGAGGCGGCCUUUGACGGACAAGGAGCUGCACAGCAAAAAGAAGAUCCAUCUGAACCGCCCGCGGUACAAAAAGUACCCGGGCAUUCGCGCUCCAAAGAACCGAAAGGUGCGGAACCGUCUGCUGAACGACUUCUUCGCACACGAGCUGGCGCGGGAGGUCCUCGUCAAGGCGCAGAAGUGGCGUACGCUGAACCCCGACGAGCCAGAAACAUCGGUAGGACCGUCGUUCGCCGACCUGCCAAAGGCGGUCAUGCACGCGUUUGAUCUCGAAGGAGAGGAGCAGCUGCUGGAGUUCGAGCGACUGCGCGUCCACCCCGACAUGCUGGGGCCGCAGCUGCGCAACGUCCGGGCACCGCCGGACCCCGACUCACCAGAGGGUCGCUUCCAGGGUCUCAACACGCGGCUGCGUGGCGAGUUGCAGCACGCUUUGAACAGCGAGUUCCUCACGCAGCAGAUCGAAGAUCUCGAGGUGCACUUUUCAGCGUUUAUCAAGGAUGGCUCCAAGUCGCCUGAAUCGCUGGUCUUCCACUUUCGCGAUGGCUACGGUCGGCUCAUCUGCCACGGGGUCGCCGCCUAUUACCAGCUUGUGUCCGAGUCCCGUACAGUGAUGGACGGGAGCGGGACAAAGUUGACGUACGUCUCUCUUCCCAAAACGCGCCGUCAAGGCGUUCGCGCCGUCAACCCGCCGCACGUGCCGCUUAUGCUUGUGCUGAAGCGCAACCGCCGCAACCUGCCCGCGAAGCACAGUCUUUCUGCCCAGACGACACCGCAGAUUGCGCCGACGCCGGACAUGGUUGCAUCGCCGCCUGCGCUGGGUCUGGAGGGUGAUAGCACCAGCAAGGAGGCGGGGGUAGACGACGCGGAGGUGAUGUCACCUCUUGACCUCAACGCUCCGGCCAUGCCAAACGUGAGGGCCCAACCGACCAGCCACAGCGGCCUUGUCGGUAGGGGCAAGGCGACAAAUGGGCACGCGACCGGCGCUCAACGGAUAGACAGCGGCGGGAAGAACCCGACCGUAUUUCGCACCGUGCAUCUAAAGCUUCCGACCGCCGACCCACUUCCGUUCUACAUUCCCAUGUUGCGCUUGACGCUCUCGGUGGAACAACAGGAGGAUGCCGUGGAGCAGCUGGAGGCGGCGAGCGCUGGUGUCUCGCCGGACUUGGGGCCGUUCACGCCCCCCUUGACAGCGACCCAGCGAAAGAAGCUCCGAAAGGCGGAGAGGGUGCGCUCCGCCGAUGCUUCACAGGACGACUACUCGACCCGUCGAUGAGUCGCCUCUGCAGCCAGCAUCUUUGCCGCCUCGUGAGCGCCUUUUAGGGGAGGGAAAGGGCGAAGAGUGAAGAAGCACACGUUGUGGUGGACACGUGUGCCGCAUAGGUAGCCGAUGAAGCGAGCCGGGGUAUCCAUGAGGUAUGGGUGACAUUUGUGAUGGGUGAGAGUGUUAAGCCAUUUUUCUUCUCUUCUGUGGCGUGCUUUGCAAGCUGUCGUUGCUGUGUGCGGGCGAGCCGCACGCGGCUUUCAGCGUUGGGCUCCGAUGCGUGGACUGCUCCUCGCGUGCCUCCUUCGUGGGUGCGCUGCUAAUCUGCGAAGGCGAUAAUCAAGGUUCCUUUGCUUCUGUUUGCGCUUGUUACUCUUCCCUGCAUCUUCGGUUUCUCUGAAGGUGCGGGUACCUUUUUUUAAAAGGAGGAGGAGAGGGAUGCCGAGGGGAAUUGCAACAAACACACUACCCCAUGUUGUUGUUGCUAGUCUCCCUGCUUCCUUGAGCCGCGCCCCAUCUCCCCGUCCUCUCUGUUCUUCGUGUUUUUCGUUGUUGGGGGUGGUCUCUUCAUCUGUGUUUGACCUCCCGUACGCCGACAUGGCUGUUUGCACGCGCCUCUGUCUCCGUGUGUGUGUGUGUGUGUGUGUGUGUGUGUGUGUGCCGUGUGUUCGCGUUCUCGUUGCUCUUUGUGAGGUCCUCAUCGCACCUAGACUGAGCAUCGGCUCCUCUUCUUUUUCUCGCUCUCGCUCUCUCCCUCUUCAACGGCGUCGCUGCUUUGCUUAUUCUUUUGUUGCGGUUGCUGCUCUCUGUCUGUCGUGUGGCGUUGAGUUGGCGAUGACAUCUGGUCACUUGCGGGUUGUCCUGGUAUUGUUUUCUGCUUGCCUUCUUUUGGUGUUGCCCUCUGCGCCGCAGCUUGGGGGCACACGCAACGAGGAAAGAACGAAAGCAAGCACUGCCCUCUGUGUGUGUGUUCAAUGACACGGGGCGUGGCAUAUCGAUGCCGCCUGUUCCCACCCUUUC